AUGCUACCACUCAGCGCCUUCUUGGAGGAUACCGCUCAGGCGCAGGCAAAGGCCCCAGUCCAAGAAGACGUAAUCGAGAGUGUUUCAGUGGAGGAAAAACGGCCGGCCAGCGAGGAAUCGACUGAGAGUAACGAGGUCUUCGUCUCCUUCCGGAGCCCAAUGUUCGCGGAUAAAUCUCUCUCGAAGAUGCUCAGCCACAAGGAUAAGUUUGGCAAAUCCACCAAGAAGUCCUCCGAUCCUAAAGCCGAACCAGAACCAAUCGUCAAGUACAUCACCUUCUCCGACAAUAAUUGGUUAUCCGACUUCCCGAAGAAGAUAGACGUCGCGGCCGCGAAGGAAGAGGACAAUGACUCCCUUAUGGCAGUCGAAGAACCCAUCCCAGCAAGUUUCAUCCCCUACGGACACACCCUCGAAGCGGAGACACCCGCGUCGAGACGCGAGAAGUACAAGAUCUUCACCGACGCCGUCUUCGGGCGACGCAACAUCUCCAGCAGCGACUCCUCUUACACGGACGCCAACAACUUGGCGCGCUCGAGGCCCGCCCGGCACAUCGACCUCAAGGCCAAGGAAGAGGCUCGCGAGAACUCAGUCCGCAAGACCCCCAAAUUGAGCGACAGCAUGUCCAAGUUGGGCCAAUUCCUCGACGAGAACAGGAUCCACCACAUACGCAAAGAGAGGAUACAGAAGACCCAUGCCGAUGCCCCGAUAUUCGAAGAGCUAGAGAGCCAGGAGGCAGUCCCUGUCAGCACCUUCAAGAGCGAGGGCCUCAAGAGACUGAACACCAUCGACACGAAGCACAAGGUGGAGCCAGAACACAAACGAAAACCAAGGGGUUUAUCUUUGCAAGACGAGUUCUUCAUGAAGCUACUCCUUGAUCUGGAUCUCUACGAACGUAUGGAGGAUGAUCAGAAACCGAAGGCUCGAGGAACAAAAGAGAAAUCGCCCAGAGCGGGAAAUCGAACUCCAACGCUCUCAAAAGCACCUACGACGAGUCGAAAGACAACAUCUUGAGGAUUAUCCGGGAGGAGCGUGGAAGCAAGGUCAACGGUGGCAGACCGAAGAGAGCUCUCUCUGAUGAGCAAAAAGCUAAGCUUGAGAGCUAUUUGAGCGAGGUCAGAGAGAAGUACGCUGUUGCUGCCGCUGCUGCGAAGAACAAGAGUGGAGAAAAGGUCUCAAGAGGCAAGCCUGAGAAGGUUAGUUUCGCGAGAGUAGAGAAACUGAGCUAUGCGAGAGGUGGCGCAAAAGAAGAGAAGGUUGGUCGCGCCAGAGGAGAACCCAAAGAGGAGAGGGUUGGUCGUGCGAGGGUACCACCCAGGGAGGAAAGAAUUGGCUAUGCCCGAAGACAGCAGGAGGAGAAGGUUGGUUACGCUAAGGACUCUGCAAAGGAAGAGAAGACACCGAAGGAAGACAACCUUGGAUCCGCCUAUGACGCGCCAAAAGGGGAGAAAGAAGCGACGCUGGAAGAAAGAAUCAGCGCUGCCAGGGAAGCUGCCUUAGAGGAGAAACUAACCCGAGAGGCAGCACGAGAGGAGAAGCUCAAUUCCAUCAGGGAGGCUAAAGAAGACAAGCUUGGACACCCGAAAGACGUAGAGCAAGAGGAGAAGCCAACGGAAACACCGAAGGAAGAAAAGGUUGGCAAGGCAUCGACGAAAGGAGAAAAGGUUGCUUACGCCAGAGGAGCACCAAAGGAGGACAGACUAGGCUAUGCUAGGAGAGUGGGUGCCGAAGAAAAGAUUGGUUCCACGGGGCAGGCUCCGAAGGAGGAGAAGAAAGAAGCCAAAGAGGAUAAAGUUUCGCGCCCAAGAGUUGGAUCCACGAAAGAAGAGGAAAAGGAUGAAUCGGAAGAACCAAUUGUGUCUCCGAUCAAGUCACGUCACGGAGUAGAAGGAACCCUCGGCGAGAUUGCUCAGAUCAGUAGAGAGAAAAUCAUGCAGGCCGUGAAAGAGAAGGCAGAAAAUUUGAUAUCAAGCAUGAGGAACAAAGAGGCCACUCAAAGCGUCGCUGCGAAAGAGGCUAAAGAGGAAACUCCUGAGACGAAGGUUGAGGACAAACCCGCGAAAUCUGAGCCUGCGGUCGGUGCCAGCAAGAAAGAAUCAGAAAAAUCGUCCAAGGAAGAAUCGGCUACCGGCGCUGCUGAACGCAUAGGAUCGCCAAGAGUUCGAUCAUCAAGGGUGCGAGCUCAAACUCCGAAGGCAGGUGACGAGAAAGAGACCGAGAAGAAGGAGGGAGAGGCUAACAAAGUUGGAAAAGAGCGAGAGUCAAAGGUCGGCAAGGAACGGGAGUCCAAGGUCGGCAAAGAACGGGAAUCUAAGGUCGGCAAGGAACGGGAGUCCAAGGUCGGCAAAGAACGCGAAUCCAAGGUUGGCAAAGAAAAGGAAUCAAAGGCGGCAAAGAGGACGACGAGAAGACAGAAACGGAGAAAGUGGGUAGCCAGCACUACAAAGUAGGCAGCGAGCGCGAGGACAAAUCAGAGCACGAGAAAGAAAAAUCUGAAUCAGUCGCAUCCGAGAAAUCCGCCGUCGCCGCAACGGAAGCCCAACCGGCAACGUCGAACAGCGAGCAGCCAGCUGAGACUGCGAAGCCGUCACGUUUGGGUAAAU
rnacentral:lncRNA from 1 species